UUUAAAUACUAGGAUAGAGGGACAUGUUGGGCCCCGUCGCACUGAUUCCGUCUCCGUCCAGAGGUUCCACUCAGACAACCGAUAAACGCAGCGUUCAAGUUCCCGUCUUCUCCGUGAGAAGAGCAGGAAUAAUGGCACCAUUAACCAACCCGUUAACAAUGGAGAAAAUCACUGUUUACCCUUUUGGCAAAAGUAAGAGCUCCCUGUCUGAGGAAACUGAGACUUCCUGUGCACCCACAAUGCAUUGUGCUCCGGACCCAUCUCGUUUAUUUGGCCCCCGUGCAAUCACUUCUGCCCUACUUUUAGAAGAGGGGAGGUCCGGGGGUGAGGAGGAAAGGUUUGCCUCAGGCGUCUGCAGCUGUGAGAUGGUCUGUUACUGGGAGUGUUUCCCACCCCACUGGGACAAAAACAACUCUCUGGUCAGUCUCAAUCUCUGCCCCACCUGGACGGGAGGGAUCUGCUCCGACCCUCUUUCAUGCAGCACAUGUGUAUCCGAAAUGGCUCAUGCCCACAGUCUCUCCG
ensembl:lncRNA